CAGUCGCCACGGUAAUACGAAGGGUGCAAGCGUUACUCGGAAUUACUGGGCGUAAAGCGUGCGUAGGUGGUGGUUUAAGUCCGUUGUGAAAGCCCUGGGCUCAACCUGGGAAUUGCAGUGGAUACUGGGUCACUAGAGUGUGGUAGAGGAUAGUGGACUUUCCGGUGUAGCAGUGAAAUGCGUAGAGAUCGGAAGGAACAUCUGUGGCGAAGGCGACUAUCUGGGCCAACACUGACACUGAGGCACGAAAGCGUGGGGAGCAAACAGGAUUAGAUACCCCCGUAGUCCCUGUCUCUUAUAC
rnacentral:rRNA from 1 species